CUUUAGCCCCGAUUGCAGUGAAAAUCCUCCCGUUUUUUUUGGGAGAUUGUAACGGAAAGCGGGACGAUCU
rnacentral:sRNA from 1 species